AAAUUGAAGAGUUUGAUCAUGGCUCAGAUUGAACGCUGGCGGCAGGCCUAACACAUGCAAGUCACACGUAAUUCG
rnacentral:rRNA from 1 species